GUUGUAGUAAUCAUUCAGUCAACGAAUCCCCCUAUUCCUAAAGGAUGUCGUUGAACGAACAACAGAUCCCUAAGUGUACGGUGGUGGAGGGGAACGAGAUCGGUGGCGAUGGACAAUGGCCCAGUCCAUCUAGUAUCAAGACUACUACAACGAGAAGGGACAAUUCGUUGCUUAUAGCAGUGAGAUCUAUAUAUAUAAUUGACCAGCGACGAUGUGCUCAAAGCUUCCAUGGCUACAGUUAAUUUGGAGAUGGUUGAUUCCAAUUAGCUGUUGUGCUCUGGGUACACGAAGACGAUAUUUUCAAUCAAUACCUAGUAACCCAAAUGGGUUAUGGGGACUCCCCAUCUGUAUGUGUGUGUUUGCCUAAAACCCCAAUCAGUUUCAAAGGAUCAGAGCUUGAUUCUGGUUACUUGACAUUUAGCUUUGACAUAUUUUCAUCACAGCCUGUGUACAGCGAACUAAAUCAAGAAGAUAUAGAAGUAUAUAUAUAACACAGUACAAGGAAAUACCCGUUCUCAAUGUUAGUAGGUGUAAAUCUCGUAAUUCUGUCCGCUCCUACACAUAUACAGAGAAGACAGGCCGGCCGAAAGAGCAAUGGCUAUUUCAUUAAAAGUUUUAGUAUAAAUUUUGUGGUCGUUUGUGCUUCAUUAAACGCAACAAAAUAACUCAGCACUGCUUCGGAGGAUCAUAUUGAGCCAAAUUUUCUUACAGAACCCAAUAUCAGUGCUUUAGGCACAAAACCUCGUAGGAAACAAGAGUAUAUGGCAUGAAAAUGGUUACAACUGCGAAUCGAAAUAGUUGUUACCACCAGCAGACAUUCUUAAGAUUCUAGCAAAGAUUAUACAUAUAUAAAAAAAAGAGAGAGAACUUUUGGUGAGACAACAGUGCAUGCAUACAAGAAAUAAAUAGGCCAUGGGAACGUACGAUAUAUAUAUAUACAGAUAGAUAGAUAACUGUAGACAUAAAUAUACCCUCGUGUAUAAAGUUUUUUCGUAAGGUCGUACUAAUCCAGAACUUCAUGUAGCAUAUUCAGUUUUAGAUUCUUCCGCUUCUCAUGGAGCAUCGGGUGACGCGAGAUAUCUUCUACCUAGCAAGGUUGCAAACCCUCGCUAUGAAUUCCCACCCUGCCUGUCAAUAGAAGGUAUUUUUAAUAUUCCACUCCUACACACAGUUUAGAUAGAGAUGGUGAAACCACUCGUUAAUAAGUAUCAGUAAAUACUGCACACUGCGGAGUUCAAAGAAGAGCGCCGUUCUAUCGAUCCAGAAUCCAACCAACAUCGAUAAACGAUUACUUAGGUCAAUUCAAAAUUCAAUCAACUAUAUAUCUAUCUAUCUCUCUCUUUAUCUAUCUAUCUAUAUAUAUAAACCCACGCCUUCUUUCUGGUAGUGCCCCAGUUUGGCCGCAGCCCAAUAACUGAAACGAAUAGCAAGAUGUUGCUUUCUGUAACGUGGAAAUAAAUAAACGUUAAAUUUUGGGAUCAAGGACGAAAAAUCCAGGAUCAUGUUAAAAGAAGACGAAACGAAAUGUGUUGGACAAAGAUGAUUAAUGCAGCGGAGAGUGACUCAAAGUGCUUAUAGAUCAGAUUUGCAUCGAACGGAACUUAUUUUCAACCAAAAGAUAAAGAGCAAAUCACUUGAAAAUAAGUUUAAAAUGCAUUGACAAAGCAUUCUCCCUCCUGUUAAAAUCAAGGGACUUCACGGACACAACAGAUAUUCACCAGAUAAGCCAAAUCCGUAACGUAAGGUUUCGAUUCCCAGCUGCUGAAGUCAUUUAUUUUCACUUCAAUCAAGAAGCUUAAUAAUUUACCCUUGGCCAAUCAAUGCACGAAUGUCAUACAGUUCUAGUUCUCUCACUACACAACUACUAAACUUCUGUAAUUAAUGAAGUAGUGGCUUUUGUAUUUAAAUAAAUCAUAAUGAUAAUUGUU